rnacentral:lncRNA from 1 species
AUAAAACCUGGAAUUGUCUCAAUGUUAAUUUUAAUUGUGGGACUGAGAACAGUCUAACGGCUUUACGUGUCAGUGAGGAAAAAGAUGAAUCGUGGUGUCAGGCAGAGGUAACCUCGACCCGGCUGGUUCCCAGCAACGCUCAGUUUCAGCUCAGGUUAGAUGGUGUGAACUGGAUAAAUAACAUUGUAAAUGGCAUUGUAUCAGCAAAAGCUGUGACUGUGGUGGAACUGAGGAACAGGUCAGACACCGGCCGAGCCAACAGAUCACCUCAGACCACCAUCCUGCCGUCUGUGAGAGUUCCUUCAAACUGUCAGCGAGAUUUCAGCCUGUUGGCCUUUGACCCUGAUGGAGACCAGGUUACGUGCAGAUAUGGAAACACGUCACUGUCAGAGUGUGACCCCUGCACACCACCGUCUGUUCUCAGCCUCUCAUCAUCUUGUACUCUGUCCUUCAGCCCCACUAUUAGCAGUCAAGAAGGUCCAUACGCUGUGCAGCUGGUGAUGGAAGACUUUCCCAGACAGACCAUCACACUGACUCAGACCAACGGGCUGCAGACGUUGAAAACUACCAGUGACGCCAUCAGCAAAAUACCUAUCCAGUUUGUUUUAAGGGUGGAGCCUGUGGUGCCGUCCUGCACAGAGGGACUCUAUCUGCCCAAGUUCCUGCCUCCAACCCCAGACAACAGAGCUCGGCUGUACACCAG